GUGUUGUAUGAAAGGAGAGAAUGUUGGCACUCCCUUUGAUAAGGAUGGAAGAGACUCUCGGACCUAACAAUAUGCGUACGGUUAAGGCAUUGCCACCUACUUUGUGGCAUCUAACCACUGCUGGGC
rnacentral:ncRNA from 1 species